AUAUGUGGCCGAUUUAGGUGUUAGUCUCUUAAAUUAAUUAAGAGUUGAUUAGUUAAU
rnacentral:tRNA from 1 species